rnacentral:rRNA from 1 species
AUUGAACGCUGGCGGCAGGCCUAACACAUGCAAGUCGAGCGGAUGAAGGGAGCUUGCUCCUGGAUUCAGCGGCGGACGGUCGAGUAAUGCCUAGGAAUCUGCCUGGUAGUGGGGGAUAACGUCCGGAAACGGGCGCUAAUACCGCAUACGUCCUGAGGGAGAAAGUGGGGGAUCUUCGGACCUCACGCUAUCAGAUGAGCCUAGGUCGGAUUAGCUAGUUGGUGGGGUAAAGGCCUACCAAGGCGACGAUGCGUAACUGGUCUGAGAGGAUGAUCAGUCACACUGGAACUGAGACACGGCACAGACUCCGACGGGAGGCAGCAGUGGGGAAUAUUGGACAAUGGGCGAAAGCCUGAUCCAGCCAUGCCGCGUGUGUGAAGAAGGUCUUCGGAUUGUAAAGCACUUUAAGUUGGGAGGAAGGGCAGUAAGUUAAUACCUUGCUGUUUUGACGUUACCAACAGAAUAAGCACCGGCUAACUUCGUG